GGGGAAUAUUGGGCAAUGGGCGCAAGCCUGACCCAGCCAUGCCGCGUGAGUGAUGAAGGCCUUCGGGUCGUAAAGCUCUGUGGGGAGGGAAGAAAAACCUUGUGGCUAACAUCCACGAGGCUUGACGGUACCUCCUUAGCAAGCACCGGCUAACUCCGUGCCAGCAGCCGCGGUAAUACGGAGGGUGCAAACGUUGCUCGGAAUCAUUGGGCGUAAAGCGCACGUAGGCGGCCUGUUAAGUCGGGUGUGAAAUCCCUGGGCUCAACCCAGGAAGUGCACCCGAAACUGGCGGGCUUGAGUACUGAAGAGGGUCGCGGAAUUCCCGGUGUAGAGGUGAAAUUCGUAGAUAUCGGGAGGAACACCAGUGGCGAAGGCGGCGACCUGGGCAGAUACUGACGCUGAGGUGCGAAAGCGUGGGGAGCAAAC
rnacentral:rRNA from 1 species